rnacentral:lncRNA from 1 species
GCAGGAGCGCUCGGAGUUGUGGGGUACGGACCCCAGGCGGGGCAGGGAGUCCGAGGCGGGCUGCGGCGGGGCUCUCGGGCUGGCGGACUCGGGGGCUGAGGCGCCGUGCGCGUUGGGUGCCCGCGGCCGCAGAGGCCAGAACCGCUACUCCUCCAGGCCGGGGAGACGCGGCCGUGGAGCGUGAAACGCUUCUUGCAAGCGAGGAAACGGUGAGUUGGCCGACACCGCCGGCGGCCUCACCAUUCUGGUGGCCGCGCUGAGCUCCUGUCGCCUGGAGGCGGGUUGCGCCGCA